GAAUUUCUCUCUGUUUUGACAGGUAAGGCUGUACAUUGUCCCUGGUGUACCUGAAAAGACAGUGUUCCAACCACAAACUAGAGGAGAAAUUAAGAACAUAGAGUGGUUUUAUGUUAACGAUCUUCCAUCCCACAAGAAAGAUACAGUGAGCCGCGAGAAACUGGGACUUAACCCAAAUGCGUUCUUCAUGGUCAUGCCUUUUGUAAAGGGUCUUCGAAAGUGGAUAUCGGCGGCUCGACAAAAAGAAGCUGACCCCACCCCUGCCCCGAGCACGGUGGAAUCACCAGGAAAUAUCCAGCUUCAAAAACUACUUGCAAAGGAAGAGCAGCGUCUUGAACAGGAACAAAAACGAGCUGCGAUCGAAAGAAGACGAAAACAACAACAGGAACGCUUUCAGCUACAACACGAACUUAACCAUCCAC